UACGGAGGGUGCAAGCGUUGUUCGGAAUUACUGGGCGUAAAGGGCGUGUAGGUGGUUAACUCAGUCAGGUGUGAAAGCCCUCAGCUCAACUGAGGAAGCGCAUCUGAAACUGGUUAACUUGAGUACGGGAGAGGAGAGUGGAAUUCCUGGUGUAGAGGUGAAAUUCGUAGAUAUCAGGAGGAACAUCGGUGGCGAAGGCGACUCUCUGGACCGAUACUGACACUGAGACGCGAAAGCGUGGGGAGCAAACAGG
rnacentral:rRNA from 1 species